CUUGACGACCAUAGAGCAUUGGAACCACCUGAUCCCAUCCCGAACUCAGUAGUGAAACGAUGUAUCGCCGAUGGUAGUGU
rnacentral:rRNA from 1 species